UAGGGAAUCUUCCGCAAUGGACGCAAGUCUGACGGAGCAACGCCGCGUGAGUGAAGAAGGAUUUCGGUUCGUAAAACUCUGUUGUUAGAGAAGAACAGCGCAUAGAGUAACUGUUAUGCGUGUGACGGUAUCUAACCAGAAAGCCACGGCUAACUACGUGCCAGCAGCCGCGGUAAUACGUAGGUGGCAAGCGUUGUCCGGAUUUAUUGGGCGUAAAGCGAGCGCAGGCGGUCAAUUAAGUCUGAUGUGAAAGCCCCCGGCUCAACCGGGGAGGGUCAUUGGAAACUGGUUGACUUGAGUGCAGAAGAGGAGAGUGGAAUUCCAUGUGUAACGGUGAAAUGCGUAGAUAUAUGGAGGAACACCAGUGGCGAAGGCGACUCUCUGGUCUGUAACUAACGCUGAGGCUCGAAAGCGUGGGUAGCAAACAGG
rnacentral:rRNA from 1 species